UCGAACGAUGAAACUUAGUAGACUUCUUCGGAAAGACACUAAGCGGAUUAGUGGCGAACGGGUGAGUAACGCGUGAGUAACCUGCCUUACACAAGGGGAUAGCCUUUGGAAACGAAGAAUAAUACCCUAUAAAACCAUAAAAGCACAUGCUAGAAUGGUCAAAGUGAUAGCGGUGUAAGAUGGACUUGCGUCUGAUUAGCUAGUUGGUGAGAUAAAAGCUCACCAAGGCAACGAUCAGUAGCCGGCUUGAGAGAGUGUACGGCCACAUUGGGACUGAGACACGGCCCAGACUCCUACGGGAGGCAGCAGUGGGGAAUUUUGCACAAUGGGGGAAACCCUGAUGCAGCGACGCCGCGUGAUUUAGAAGGCCUUCGGGUUGUAAAAAUCUUUUGUAUAGGAAGAAAAUGACAGUACUAUACGAAUAAGGUCCGGCUAAUUACGUGCCAGCAGCCGCGGUAAUACGUAAGGACCGAGCGUUGUCCGGAAUCAUUGGGCGUAAAGGGUACGUAGGCGGCUAGAAAAGUUAGAAGUCAAAGGCUAUAGCUCAACUAUAGUAAGCUUCUAAAACUAUUUAGCUUGAGAAAUGGAAGGGAAAGUGGAAUUCCUAGUGUAGCGGUGGAAUGCGCAGAUAUUAGGAAGAAUACCGGUGGCGAAGGCGACUUUCUGGCCAUUAUCUGACGCUGAGGUACGAAAGCGUGGGUAGCAAAC
rnacentral:rRNA from 2 species